UUCGGAUUGCAGGCUGCAACCCGCCUGUAUGAAGUUGGAAUCGCUAGUAAUCGCGGAUCAGCAUGCCGCGGUGAAUACGUUCCCGGGCCUUGUACACACCGCCCGUCACACCAUGAGAGUCGGGAACACCCGAAGUCCGUAGCCUAACCGCAAGGAGGGCGCGGCCGAAGGUGGGUUCGAUAAUUGGGGUGAAGUCGUAACAAGGUAAC
rnacentral:rRNA from 1 species